UACACUCCUACGGGAGGCAGCAGUGGGGAAUAUUGGACAAUGGGCGCAAGCCUGAUCCAGCCAUGCCGCGUGAGUGAUGAAGGCCCUAGGGUUGUAAAGCUCUUUCACCGGUGAAGAUAAUGACGGUAACCGGAGAAGAAGCCCCGGCUAACUUCGUGCCAGCAGCCGCGGUAAUACGAAGGGGGCUAGCGUUGUUCGGAUUUACUUGGCGUAAAGCGCACGUAGGCGGACUAUUAAGUCAGGGGUGAAAUCCCGGGGCUCAACCCCGGAACUGCCUUUGAUACUGGUAGUCUUGAGUUCGAGAGAGGUGAGUGGAAUUCCGAGUGUAGAGGUGAAAUUCGUAGAUAUUCGGAGGAACACCAGUGGCGAAGGCGGCUCACUGGCUCGAUACUGACGCUGAGGUGCGAAAGCGUGGGGAGCAAACAGGAUUAGAUACCCGAGUAGUCC
rnacentral:rRNA from 1 species